CUUCACUGUUCUUGAGUUUGAUCUAAUAUCUGGUGUUCCUGGAGUGACGAAGACAGAGAGGUUGGGUACACUCAGGGCUAUCUUCACAACCCUAGCUACAAUGAUGUCUGUUCUGGGACCACGAAUCACUCGGAGGUCGUUAGGGUUCAGUAUGAUCCCAAGGAGUGUAGUUACGAGUCCUUGCUUGAUGUUUUUUGGGCCAGCCAUGACCCUACUUCGCUUAAUCGUCAGGUGGGUAUGUUUAAUUUUGGGUUUUAAUCGAUGAAUUUGUGAUUUGGUUGUUGAAUUUUGAUGGGUUUUGGUUGAAUUGCUAUGAAAUUGAGUUGAAUUGGUGUUUGAUUCUUGUAUCUCUGCUUAUAUGGUGAAUUGGCGAUUCUUUCGUGGGUGAACACACAUGCUCAAAUUAAUGGCUUAUUGGAAGGGAAAGGGCGGUUCUCUGGUGGCAGCAACGACACAGCUGGUCGAAAGUGGCAGUGACAUCAGUUGCCAUGUGAUGGGGUGAAGAUGAACGAGGAAUUGCCAGGAAGUUAGUAUUUUCUGGAUAUGGAGUUUUUGAGAUGGAUUAUCCAGGAUUUGGUCUUUCAGAAGGUCUUCAUGGAUAUAUUCCAAGCUUUGAUAUCCUGGUUGAUGAUGUCAUUGA